UACGUAGGCAGCAAGCGUUGUUCGGAGUUACUGGGCGUAAAGAGUGCGUAGGCGGUCCUUUAAGUUUGGUGUGAAAUCUCCCGGCUCAACUGGGAGGGUGCGCCGAAAACUGGAGGGCUUGAGUGUGGGAGAGGCAAGCGGAAUUCCUGGUGUAGCGGUGAAAUGCGUAGAUAUCAGGAGGAACACCGGCGGUGUAGACGGCUUUCUGGACCGUAGCUGACGCUGAGACACGAAAGCGUGGGUAGCAAACAGG
rnacentral:rRNA from 1 species